UCAGAUUCACGCUAGGAGUAGCGUUUUAGGUCCUCUAGUCUCUUUUUGUAUGAUUGAAUAAGAAGAUGAACAUUAAUGUAUUUUAUCUUUAAGGAACUAAAUGACUUAAUAUGUAAUAGUACUCCUUUUACAUUUAGUGUCGGACAUAAAAAUGUAUUAUUCUGUAUUUGUAAUCUUAGUUUGUUUACUUGCAAUUGUUAUGAAUUAUGUGUGUUAAUGGGAAAGAAAUGAGCAUGCGAAAUGUGAGGCAUGUACCAUGAAUGAUGUGUUGUUAAGGUUCUACAUGAUUAUGAUAUGAUUGAGAAAUGAGUAUAGCUAUACAGGAUGAUUGUUGAUAACUUGGGACCUCUAGGUAUAAAGGAAACUUUGCCGAAAUUUCAGUGGAAAUUUCGGCAACUCUCGGAUAAGUUCGGUGGAUGAAAAAAAAAUACCCAUUUUUUAAAAAAGUUAAGGCUCAAAGUUCUUUUAUGAAUGUACUAAAUUACAGGGUGUUACAAAAACUCCUCAAUGUUUUGCAUAGUAAGUUUUGUAAAGAAAAACUUGUCUUUCUGUCUGUUAAACUUGCUUAAUAUCCACUCAUCUAAAGACCUUGCUCUUUUUUUUCUUUUCUUUUUUCUGUUCUCUCUUCCUUCUCUUUUCUUCCUCUUCUUUCUUUCUUUCUUUCUUUCUCUCUCUCUUUUUUUUUUUGUUAACUUGAGAUCCCAUCUAGCGAUCUUUUUUUCCAAAACCAAAGAAUGUGUGUAGCUCGGUCAACCUGAAAUCCCAUAUGGAUAUUCCCUUUAACCAAAGCCACAUGAGAUCCCAUUUGGCGACCUCAUUCAACUGGAACUAAAAAAUAUGUGGAGCUCGAUCAACCUGAAAUCCCAUCUGGCGAUUCCCUUUAACCAAAGCUACCUGAGAUCCCAUCUGGCGACCUCAUUCAACUGGAACUAAAAAAAUAUGUGUAGCUCGGUCAACCUGAAAUCCCAUCUGGUGAUUCCCUUUAACCAAAGCCACAUGAGAUCCCAUCUGGCGAUUCCCUUUAACCAAAGCCACAUGAGAUCCCAUCUGGCGACCUCAUUAAACCAAAACCAAAAAAUAUGUGUAGCUCGGUCAACCUGAAAUUCCAUCUGGCGAUUUCCUUUAACCAAAGCCACCUGAGAUCCCAUCUGGCGACCUCAUUAAACUGGAACUAAAAAAAUAUAUGUAGCUCAGUCAACCUAAAAUCCCAUCUGGUGAUUUCCUUUAACCAAAGCCACCUAAGAUCCCAUCUGGCGACCUCAUUAAACUGGAACUAAAAAAUGUGUGUAGCUCGGCAACCUGAAAUCCCAUCUGGUGAUUCCCUUUAACUAAAGCUACAUGAGAUCCCAUCUGGCGACCUCAUUAAACCAAAACCAAAAAAUAUGUGUAACUCAGUCAACCUAAAAUCCCAUAUGGCGAUUUCCUUUAACCAAAGCUACAUGAGAUCCCAUCUAGCGACCUCAUUAAACCAAAACCAAAAAAUAUGCAUAACUCGGUCAACCUGAAAUCUCAUCUGGCGAUUUCCUUUAACCAAAGCUACAUGAGAUCCCAUCUGGCGACCUCAUUAAACCAAAACCAAAAAAUAUACGUAACUCGGUCAACCUGAAAUCCCAUCUAGCGAUUUUCUUUAACCAAAGCUACAUGAGAUCCCAUCUGGCGACCUCAUUAAACCAAAACCAAAAAAUGUGUAAAAAGUGGUCUAUUGUAAUGGGUGACUUACCCAGGUGGAAAAAAUAUGAAAAGCGGUUUCGUUGUGAUGGGUGACCUACCCAGAUGGAAAAAAUGUGAAGUGCAGUCUCAUUGUAAUGGGUGACCUACCCAAAGAAGGAGGAAAGAGUGGUUUCAUUGUAAUGGGUGACCUACCCAAGUGGAAGAAUGGCCUCAUUGUAAUGGGUGACCUACCCAGAUAAAAAACAUGGAGAAUUGAUCGCGUUGUAAUGGGUGACCUACCUAGAAAAACAUGGAGUAUUCAACCCACACACUUUAUAUUAUAAGUAACUAGUUUUUGUAUUGGCACUCCACGGCAGGGUGGUUAUUUUUUUAAGUAAAAAAGUAAUAAUAAGCAGGCUCUUACAAUGCACUUUUUAAUAUAAUUUUUUUUCAAUCACAAAUCAAAAUGCCUAUACAUAUAUUUAGUAAUUAGAUCGAUAUUUGAUAAAUAGGUAACUAAGAUUAAGAUAUUUGAUAUCACGACAUGAAUCAUGUACUUAGUUGUGUUUAACAACUAUGUUUCCUAGAGUUUUUUUUUAUGAACUAACCAUAUAUUCCGAUAAAAGGUAACAAAAAAUUCAUACCAAUAUUGAAUGAAGAAACUAAAAAAAAAAACCAAUGAAAAAAAAGGCUGUAUAAAUACACUAAUUUAUUGACCAUAUUGACAAAACAAGUCAAAACUGUAUAAAUACACUAAUUUAUUGACCAUAAGUAAAUGAUUGAGAUAAUAAUAUGAAAAGAAAAACUUUUUACCGGACAAUGAUCAAUCCUGGUGAUGUCCAAAGUGUAAAUCAAACAUUUUAUAUCUUGUCAUGAGAAACAAAUAUAUCACAACUUGUUUUUAUUGUAUUCUAUUAUGACUUGUUUUGUGCCUUACAUUAUUUAAUAUAUUAAAAUAAAUUUAAUAAAUUAUACUGAAGAAAGAUCUAAUAUUAGAAAGUUAACGGAAAUAAUAAAUAUACUUUUAAAUAUAUUUACAGUUCGGUCCCUUAAUUAACUUUUUGUUAGUAAAAUGUUGAGCUGUCAGCAAUAUUUCCUUAGUUUGUGCUAGGGGUGAGCAAAAAAACCGAGAAACCGAGUAAACCGAGAAAAAAAAACCAAAAAAACCGAACCGAAAAAAAAAACCGAUUAAACCGAUUAUUUUUUUUGUAAAAAUUUUCGGUUCGGUUCGGUUUCGGUUUCGGAAACCUGAAACCGGCAAAACCCCAACCGAACCGAACUGGUUCGGUUUAAGGGGUACUAUAAAUACGAAGAAAAAAAAUUAACCCUAGACCUAGACACUCUCACUCCAACGACUCCUUAUCCUUGCAGCCGCUCCCUCAUCCUCACGGCCGCACCUCACACGAUUCACACUUUCACUCACUCUGCAACAAAAACAAGUUAAUCCAUCUUCGAUUCUUCAUCCAUACCCCUCUCUGGCUCUCCCACACCAUCUUCAUCUUCAAAACUAACAACCUAGCCAAUUAGCCACGAGUCGCAUGACACACACCACACCGGCACACCGAACCUCCAGAGUUCAAAUCUAGCAAACCAGUCGCUCCCUCUUUUACACCCGACCUUGAAUCGUGUCCCAAUUCACACCAGAGUUCAAAUCUAGCAAACCAGUCCCUCCCUCUUUCACACCGGACCUUAAAUCGUGUCCCAACUCACACCAGGUAUGAUUUCUUUUUUCUGUCAAUCUCUAUUUUUAUUUUUUUAACAUAUGCUUUGUGAUUCUAUGUAUUUGUUGGUUGAUUUUUUUUUAACACCAGAGUUUGAGCAUUCUGUGUAUUUUGGUUGAUGUUUUUCUGCAUUAAUAAAUCUGUUGUUCUGUGUAGUGUGUAUUUUGUGAUUAGCGUAGGGAUGAUUUUUAUUUGUGCAUUCUGUGUAUUCUGUAUGAUUCUAUUUCUGUGUGUUCUGUGUAGUGUGUAAUGUGUAUUCUGGGUAAAGCACCGCAUUGCCAUUCAUUCAUUUCUGUGUAAUGUGAUUGUGUGUCCUAUAUUUAGUCAUUAAUUUCAUUAAUUCUGUCACUAAUUACGUGUGAUGUGAUUGUUUCUAAAACUUCUAAAACUUUUAAAAUUAAUGACUAAAAAUGGUGUUGGCAGUCUAAUUUCUAAAACUUUUGUUCCUUAUCAAAUGCCUGGUGUAAGUAGCUGCUACAUGGGCAAUCCUCACUGUUAACACUGGGAAAACACAAAAACAAGAAUUAAAUCUUUGAAAGCUUGGUGUUAGUCUGAGGUGGAAUGUUUAUUUUUUUUUUAGUAUUGAUGAACAAUUAAAGUUGCCGGUUUGAUUGGUCUCGUGUAUGCCUAAAUAUUAUCUAAUUGAUACUCCAUUUUAAACAGGAAACUUGUGCAGCCUAGGUCACCUGUCCUGGAGAAGCUAGUUUUGGUGCCUAUAGGUGUUUAGAAAUUAUGUUUUUCUUUUCUUAUUGAUUUGAAAAUAUGUACUCUUCAAACUUGAGGAUAUAUGUUGACUAUGUCUUGUUGUUUCAUUGUAUUUGUGAUUUUCAUGACUGUUUAUUUGUGUUAUUGCAAUCUCUUGUUGUUUGAAUCAUUUCCCUUUCUCCUAUUCUUGUUGUUUUGGUGCCUAUGAACUGAUCUGUGCCUUCUUAUGUACAUACCAGGCAUGUGAUAUGGAACAAAAGUUUUAGAGAUUAGAUUGUGUUUCCUAUAUUUACUUAUUUAGUCAUUAAUUUCAUUGUUUCUGUGUAAUGUGAUUGUUUCUGUGUAAUGUUUUGGCUGAUAUUACUUUCCAUUUUGUUUUUUGUUUUUGCUUGACAUUUAAGUUUUUAUUAGUUUGAUAGUUUCUUUGAAUUUAUCAAGAAUCAAGAAGCUUGAUAAAUGAUCUUGAAACCUACGAAAACCUUGAGUCAGGUAAAAAAAAAUUAGAAACUUACACUUUUUAUUUUGUAAUUUAUUAAUUAAAUUGUUUGCAAUCAUCUAACAUGUUUAAUUUUUUAUUUUGUAGAAUUUGGUAGAAAAUUACAUGUAGCAUUGGAUGAUAAUUAGUUAAGAAGUUACUUUGAUGGUUUUGAUGUCAAUGGUAUUACGGAAUCAAAGUGCAAUGUUCUUGUCAUCUUGAUGUGCUUUUUUAUUGGGAUAAUGUGCACAAUGAAGAUUUAUAUUUUUUGCAUGAAGUGCUUUAUUUUU